CAAGUAAGAAAUGUGGCUUCAACAAGGCUUGCUUUGAGGCUGCUGCGAGGUGCAGAGGCUGUGAAAGCGUAUUGCAGAGCUAGCAAGCUCAUCUCACCAAAUGCUGCAAGGGAGGACAAAAAUUCGCUUACACAGUGCAGCAUUGUGCUGAUAUACAACAAAGGGUGAAUCUUCUUUCAGAAUGACGGUGAGCCAUUUUUCCUGGGCAGAUUUUGAGGGCUGUUGCAUUCAUUCUUGUAUUUCUUCCCAGUCGUUUCGGGUUUGACUGAAACUGGCCGCUCUUAGCGUUGGAUUCCAACAGAAGGAGCGGGUUUUGCUGUAGCCUCUGUCUGACCUUGGGCUACAGUCACUUCAGGAAGUUCCUUGCAAAACCAGAGCUGCACAAACCACCUCCUUCCUUUCUAAUUUGUGCAAGCCCCUAGAAUAUAACUCGGUGACAGGUUUACAUUGGGGUAACCCCAGCUCGUCCUGAAGGAAAGUGUGCAACUGCUUUGGGGAAAAACAAAGUUGCUUAAAAAAUGGUUGCUUUUAUACUCCAAAGCGGAAGGGAAAGUUAUGUGUGUGUUGG
rnacentral:lncRNA from 1 species